CUAGCUAUGUUUGUUUGUUUGUUUGUUUGUUUUAUACUGUAGAUGUAUUCAAUUGUUGUUUUCACGGAAAAAAAUGAGACAGAGGUUAUACCAAGUGACUGGCUGAGCAUCGAUAAAAAAAUGUCCUUUUGGCCCCCAUAUAAUACUACUAAAUGUAGAAAAGCGGUUGAAAAAAAUGAAACCCCUGAUGAAGAAUGGGAAGAAUAUAUAACUGAAUGGGUGGCUGAGUAUGAUUCCUAUGAAAAAGCCCGAAGGAAGCUCGUGAAGUUCUGCAAAGGCAAUGGUUUGGAGUCGACAGACGAGGACAGUACCAUCAUCGAAAUAUGUUGGAUUUAGGUCUACAUCAGCCCCUCCAUCUGCAGCCUCAGGAAGACCUCCAGUUCAGGCCUCAACAAGUAGGCUCCACACAGAGACAAUGGAAAGACCAAAAAAGAAAUUCUGCAAUAAUGGAGCCAAAAGCCAGACCUUGCCAGCCAUACCACCAUUUCCCUUUCCACCAUCAACACCAGAGACAGUCCCAGAUCUAAGACAAGAUGAAAGAGAACUCCGACUCUUUCAGAUGCUAGAGGAGAUAAAAGGCCAAGUCAGACAAAAUUCUCUUCUGCUUCAGGCAAUUUUGAGAAGAGAGAGUGUCACUGAAGUCAGCAGUUUUCCAGAUUUUGAGUUUCCGUUACAAAAUAUUAAUGAUAU